UCAAAGUCUGAAAGCCUUGUCUGAUACAUGGGAAUGUUACAACAUUUCAGGUACGGCGGCUGCAUUAUUGCAAUUCAUGUGAACUCAAUAUUACUAUUUUUUUUGUACUACCUUCGUAAUUAAAUUAGUUUUACAAUUUUUAUUUUAGUACUUUCAUGAUAUUCUUUAUAUUGUGCUUUCAUUUUUUAUUUGGACAUGAAAUUUAUUAUCUUGGCGCUCUUACCCCACAACAUUUACAACUUGUCACUUAUGUUUUCUUAAUACGAAGUAUAUUCAUUUUUUUCUUACAAUCACCCACAUUUUUACACAUAUCUCUCAUAUUACCCAUAAUUUAUUAUAUCCAUCUAUCUUUUUACACACUUUUCCUAUUUGGUAUUAAUAUUUGUGCAAAUAGUAACUAUAAAGAUUAUUUUGAAACGGAGUAAUAUUUAAUAGAGCAUAAACUAAAUCACCAGCAACUUGCAAAGAACUUUAAUGCGACCCCAAUUUUUGAAAAAUAACUCGCAUUACCAUAUUAUAUAACCAACCACUAAUUGUUGUUGAUCUAUAACAUUCAUUUAUAAAAAUACAUGUUAACAUGAAGCCUAGAAUAACUAAAUCUUUCCUUUAAAAAAAACAACUAAAUCUUUCCUUUAAAAAAAACAACUACUCCCUCCGUCUCUUUUUGUUCUUUACGUUUUCCUUUUUGGGUAUUUCAAAAUGUUUUUUACAUUUCUUUUUAUAUUAUCACAUAAAUGACUUAGUAUUCUAUCAAAAUUUGUGUCCAAUUAUCAUUUUAACCAAUUAAAUUCAUUGAGUCAUUUAAUAUCUCACACUUUUACAUUGGAACAUUAAAUUUUUCUCAUAUUCCCAAUAUCAGAAUUUUGAUAAAAGUGAAAACAUUAUAAAUAAACGUAAUUUAUCUUGUUUAAAUAAAAAAAAUUGAGGAAUCUCGAUGCAAAUUAAUUAAUCGUUAAAACGCGUGAAAAAUGUCAAACGUAAAAAACAAAAAGAGACAGAGGGAGUAAAUCUUUAUGUUACAUUUUAUUUCCUGUGGACUAUAUGGAAAAGAAAAAUAAAGCAUUAGUAAAAGCAUGAAUUAAACAUGAUGUUAUGAGUCUCAUAAGCAUGAACUAUAAAAAUGUCCUACACAUAUCUAAUUUGAUAUUUAUUAAUUUAAAGUACGUCGUUCCGUUAGAAAAUAAAUUAAACGGAUUGUAAGAUUAAGUAUAUAAUUGAAAACUUAAUUGCCAUGAUAAACGAGGUAGUGUUCCUGUGUAGUUCACAAACUCAAUGAAUUUUUUCGCUUUUAUGAACUACAUGUAUUUUGGUCAAAUAUUAAACUCAAGAAGAAUCUCAAAUUUUAAUUAUUCAACGUUGCAACCGGGACAUCGCCCGGGCCACACACUAAUUUUACUAUUAUUUUUUCUCAUUUCUAAAUAAUAUUGUACCGCCAGGUAACAAAAUAAUACUUAUUUUUUUCCUUUCUUCAGAGCAAGCGCAACAAUUAACAUGGUUGCGCUCACUCUGAGGGGGCUAGUUGUACGGGGUGUCCUACCGGUAUUACUCCCCGUAAGUAAAACUAACCAGCAGGUAAUUUGGUCAUCUUAGAUAAUCACCUCUUACCGGCAUGCUUGUAAUGCCCUUACCGGCCAAAGCAUGGCGACGACCAAUCAUCGAUCAACCACAGGUCACUGUCAAACAGGUUGUUAUCCCACUAGAAGGGACCUACUUGACCGUACGCUUGGAUUGGUCUAUAUAAGGAGGACCUCAUUUAUUGCUAUGAGGUACACAAACACUUAAACACACUUCUUUCUUACUAUUUGAUUAUCUCUUAAUCACUUCAGUAAUCUUACUUAGGCAUCGGAGGGGGAUCCUCGAACCACCCCCGAGGCUAGUUAAUCUAUUCUAUUACGCAGAUACCAGCAGACAUUCUCAGCAGGAGUUUAGUACCCCACAGUCGGCUGUUCCUAUUCCAUACCAGGAACAAAUAUAUUAUAGAGAAUACUUGCUCUGUAAAUAUUAAAAAUACAUGUAAAUAUUACUCUGUAUAUAUGUACGUAGUAUUUUUCUAAAAAAGUCAAAGGGUUCUCUAAAAGGAAAAAUAACAAUUAGUACUUUGUUUCUAAACAGUUGCACCAUUUUUACUUUGACACUAUUCACUUUUUUUUUUAACCAUAAUCUAUUACUAAUAAAUACGGAGUAACUAAUAAAUAAAAAUAAAUAUUAUUAUGUAAAAUGUUACUGGGACGGUUUCAUUCUAUAUUUUAAGUAUAUUAAUAUUUUAAUAAUUUUCACUAACACAUAAUAAUAACUUUGUAAGUAUUGAUGGUCAAAGUUUUGCGUUGGAAAACGUAAAAGUCAAAUGUUGCAACUAUUUAGAAACGAAUAAGGUAGUUUGGUAUUAAUAACACGGAAUUUUUUCCAAUUACUACUUAGGCUUUUGGUGACUUGCAAAUUACUACAUAGGUUUUUAAAAGUUGUCAAUUACUACCUAGGCCUUUAGUUAUUGUUGUCAAUUGCUACUUAGUCAAAAUUUCGGCCAAUUAGUUACUAAUCAUAUCUUAAUCAAUUUUUAAUCAUAAUUUAAUUAUCCUAAAAUUAAUAAAUUAAAAAAAAAAUCAAAACUAUUUAAGUCAGAUAUAUACGAAAAUACCAAAAAAAAAAAAAAACACCCCAAACAAAAAUAAACUCCCUAAAAAUUGUUGCUCCUUCAACUUAUGUUUUUUCUACUGCCAUUGUUUAGAGCUUCUCUUAUGGUUUUUCUACUAUUCUUCAUCCCAAAACACGAAAUUUGCUAAUUUACAUGUUGGUUUGUUGCUACUCGUCUCUCUCUCUCUCUCUCUCUCUCUCUCUCUCUCUCUCUCUGAUGGUGUCUAUGCUCAUCUCUCAUUUCUUCUCUUUAGUUUUUGCGGCCUUGCAUUACUGUUCUUGCUAGUUCUCCUUCUCCAACGAGCAAAAUUAUAUUCAAGCUCUUUCUACCGAGGAGCCACGGGAUGGACAUGUAAAUGUGAUUUGAAGGCUUAGAUUAGGAAGGGAUAGACCAAAGAAAAUCCAAGAAGAAGGUUUAUUGCGUGUCCUGAUUACAUAUACAAUGUUGACGCAAACUGGAGAGGAUGCAUAUACUUCAUAUGGUAUGAUGAGGAAAUGACAUUUUGGCCGCUAAAGGGCCAUAAUUUCGGGGCUGUUGGAUCAAAAGAAUGAGUUGUGGAAGGAGAAUGGAAAACUGAAGAAGACGAUUGAUAAUGUGAACCAUGGAUGCAAGGAAAAUGAAAACUCAGUAUAUGAUAGGGGUGAGCAAAAUCGGAUAUCCGGUCCGGUUUUAAAACCGGAUCGGAUACCCGGUUUUUCGGAUCACAAAAAACAUGAUCCGUAUCCAACCCGGUUUAACUGGAUAUCCAAUUUUUAACCGAUAGGAAAAUUCGGAUAAUCCGAAUUUUAUUUAUACAAAACUAAUUCUUAAUACCUUGCGAAUAAGCUCUUUUAUUAUUAAUAUUCGUCAUAAAUUUGUAGUAAAUUAACUUUUCCGACACUUUAAAACGUAGGGGACACGGGAUAUGCGUAGGAAAACGCAGGGAUUUCUGGUAGUGACACGAUAAUUGUAAAUUUAAUAACCUUAGUAUGCAUCGAGUUUCUCAUGCGUAGAGUUUCUUUUUCUUUGGUAUUUCAACAUCAUUAAUCACAAAUAUAUAAUAUAACACGUAGUGUUUUAGUAUAAUCAAUUAACUACAUUCAGUAAUUUUCUUUAGUAUUGUAUCUUACAGACUUAUAUUUUUAUAACAUUAUGGAAGCUCUCACACAUGUUAUUCAGUAA